AAGCCACCAAACUGCACAAGCACAAGACCACAGGAAGCUAUUGCCAUGAUAUAUUCACUCCAAGCAGACAACGAUUGAAAUCAUCAGACGCCACACUCAGUUAAACUGUUAUGGCCAGCCCAGUCAAGCUGGGUGUUUUCUCGAAGUCACAACAGGGCAAACCUCCAAUGUCAUCCCUCCAUCUUCCCCCCAAAGUACACGGGAGCUUACUAAUGAAUCAAAUGAGCUGUCGACACAGGAAAACCUCUGGACCAAACUGCUGGAAGAAACUGGAUGGUAAUUUAUAACAAGCUCCAAAAAGGCAGCAUAAAAGUACACAUAUUUGGGUACCACUUUACAAAAAAAUUGAAUAGGCCCAUUCGUUAAUGUAGUUAAUGCAUUAACAUCAACUUACAAUGAGCAACACAUUUGCUGUUUAUAUAUACAUUUACAUAACAUAUAUAUAUAU
ensembl:lncRNA